UACGUAGGGGGCGAGCGUUGUCCGGAGUUACUGGGCGUAAAGCGCACGCAGGCGGUUGGGCAAGGCUGUGGUGACAGCUGCUCGCUUAACGAGCAGAGUGCCGCAGCGACUGCCCGACUUGAGGGCCAGAGAGGGACAUGGAACUCCGGGUGGAGUGGUGAAAUGCGUAGAGAUCCGGAAGAACACCAAAGGCGAAGGCAGUGUCCUGGCUGGUACCUGACGCUCAGGUGCGAAAGCGAGGGGAGCGAACGGGG
rnacentral:rRNA from 1 species